rnacentral:rRNA from 1 species
GCUCAGAGUAUAAGCCAAUGGAGCUUGGAAGGCUUCCGCAGAUGGUGUCCAUCAUACGUGGUGUUCUUAAGACCUUGAGUGUGGCUCGUGAAGCGAAGCAUUGAGUUUGCCGACCAGCUGUCGUGCGGGGGGUUCAGCUUGGGAGGGUUGGACUUCGGUCCAACAGUUUUCCUUCUGUCCCCUUUUGAAUGGACGUUCAGAGCUCUUGGUCUAAUGCGGUUAUGCCCACCACAGCACGUUGUGAGGUCACCCACAGGCUCAAACUGCCGAUCGCGCAUCCAGGACGAUGGCAACGAUGCGUUGUCGAUGAUGGCUCGAGAGAGACUUCACUCACACGCGUGUCUAGUCCUGGGUCGGGCGGCGACCGAGAUAAACCUGGUACGAUCCUCUUGCGACGAGCUGCUUUCUGGCCAGACCGACGCCCGGACGCCUCCACUGUGCCGGAAGCGUCAACCCCAGGCGGUGUGAACCCAGCUGCAUUAUGCAAGGUCUCUCAGCCGGGCGUUGGUCUGAGUGGUGUUAAGUCCAGCACCAUCGGUCACGUCUCGAAACACGGGCCAAGGAGUAUAGCAUGUGUGCAAGUCUAAGGGUCUCACAAAACCCGAAGGCGAAGUGAAAGCAAGACUGUGGCGGGGGAGCUACGGCAAACCCGCCGGCCUAGUGGCGCGUGCGUCGCCUGGCUUUUAGCAGAGCUGAUCCUGUUUUCUCGGUUAAUUCUUGGUGCAGGCGCAAGCUCCGGGCUCACGUACAACACUGGUCACGCCUCGCG